rnacentral:rRNA from 1 species
CAUGGUUGUCGUCAGCUCGUGUCGUGAGGAUGUUGGGUUAAGUCCCGCAACGAGCGCAACCCUCGACCUUAGUUGCCAGCAUUCAGUUGGGCACUCUAAGGUGACUGCCGGCUAAAAGUCGGAGGAAGGUGGGGAUGACGUCAAAUCAUCAUGCCCCUUAUGACCUGGGCUACACACGUGCUACAAUGGGCGGUACAAAGGGUCGCGAACCCGCGAGGGGGAGCCAAUCCCAAAAAGCCGCUCUCAGUUCGGAUUGCAGGCUGCAAUUCGCCUGCAUGAAGUCGGAAUCGCUAGUAAUCGCAGGUCAGCAUACUGCGGUGAAUACGUUCCCGGGCCUU